rnacentral:RNase_P_RNA from 1 species
GGAGUCGGCCGGUUAAUCGCUGUCAGUUUACUGAUGGAGGAAAGUCCGGGCUCCGCAGGACAGGGUGCCAGGUAACGCCUGGGCGGAGUGAUCCGACGGCAAGUGCAGCAGAAAAUAUACCGCCUAAGCAGUCUGUGACUGCCGGUAAGGUUGAAAUGGUGCGGUAAGAGCGCACCGCGCUGCUGGUAACAGCAGCGGCAUGGUAAACCCCACCCGGAGCAAGACCAAAUAGGGAAGCUUGUGUUCGCACAGCCUGUGGUCCGCAGGUGGCUUCCGGGUAGGUCGCUUGAGGUAUGCGGUGACGCAUUAUCCAGAUGAAUGAUUAUCCACGACAGAACCCGGCUUACAGGCUGGCUCCCACC